rnacentral:rRNA from 1 species
GACGAACGCUGGCGGCGUGCUUAACACAUGCAAGUCGAACGCUGAAGCUCAGCUUUUGUUGGGUGGAUGAGUGGCGAACGGGUGAGUAACACGUGAGUAACCUGCCCCCUUCUUUGGGAUAACGCCCGGAAACGGGUGCUAAUACUGGAUAUUCACUGGUCUUCGCAUGGGGGUUGGUGGAAAGGGUUUUUCUGGUGGGGGAUGGGCUCGCGGCCUAUCAGCUUGUUGGUGGGGUGAUGGCCUACCAAGGCUUUGACGGGUAGCCGGCCUGAGAGGGUGACCGGUCACAUUGGGACUGAGAUACGGCCCAGACUCCGACGGGAGGCAGCAGUGGGGAAUAUUGUACAAUGGGCGCAAGCCUGAUGCAGCGACGCCGCGUGAGGGAUGGAGGCCUUCGGGUUGUGAACCUCUUUCGCUCAUGGUCAAGCCGCAACAAUGGUUGUGGUGAGGGUAGUGGGUAAAGAAGCGCCGGCUAACUACGUG